CUGGCAGGUUUCAAAGGUUAAGUCCUCUAUUUAUCCACAGAACAGGAACAGUACUGACACUACCAGUGCAGGUUUCUAAUGCACCAAUGUGCCUCCAACCUGACCUGAAGAAACCCGAAACUUCCAAGCCCAUUUAAUACUUGACUUCU
rnacentral:sRNA from 1 species